GGCCGCGGGAAUUCGAUUCAGGCCUAACACAUGCAAGUCGAGCGAACCCUUCGGGGUGAGCGGCGGACGGGUGAGUAACGCCCCGCUAACCUGCCCUGUACACACGGAUAACAUACCGAAAGGUAUGCUAAUACGAGAUAAUAUGUAAUGAUCGCAUGGUCGAUACAUCAAAGCUCCGGCGGUACAGGAUGGACCCGCGUCUGAUUAGCUAGUUGGUGAGGUAAUGGCUCACCAAGGCGACGAUCAGUACCCGCCCUGAGAGGGUGAUCGCCCCCAUUGGAACUGAGACACGGUCCAAACUCCUACGGGAGGCAGCAGUGGGGAAUACUGCACAGGGGGCGAAAGCCUGAUGCAGCAACGCCGC
rnacentral:rRNA from 1 species